rnacentral:rRNA from 1 species
UUGGAGGGCAAGUCUGGUGCCAGCAGCCGCGGUAAUUCCAGCUCCAAUAGCGUAUAUUAAAGUUGUUGCAGUUAAAAAGCUCGUAGUUGAACUUCGGAAUCAAUGGAUUGGUCAUGCCGUUGGUAUGUACUGGUCAUAUUGGUUCUCACCUUCUAAGGAACCAUAAUGUCAUUCAUUUGAUGUUUUGGGGAAUUAGGACUGUUACCUUGAAAAAAUUAGAGUGUUUAAAGCAGGCUAACGCUUGAAUACAUUAGCAUGGAAUAAUGAAAUAGGACAUCGCAUUCUAUUUUGUUGGUUUCUAGGAUCGAUGUAAUGAUUAAUAGGGAUAGUUGGGGGCAUUAGUAUUCAAUUGUCAGAGGUGAAAUUCUUGGAUUUAUUGAAGACUAACUACUGCGAAAGCAUUUGCCAAGGGAUGUUUUCAUUAAUCAAGAACGAAAGUUAGGGGAUCGAAGACGAUCAGAUACCGUCGUAGUCUUAACCAUAAACUAUGCCGACUAGGGAUCGGAUGAUGUUGAUUUUUAAUGAC